AAAGCCACCACAACAUUGUUUCUCUCACUUGUUCUUCCUUCAAAUUCUCAGUCCAAUUUUUUCUUUCCCAAAUUCUUAGUCUCGCACUCCAUUCAUAAUAAACACAUGCCAUUUUUUAUUCAGAUUUCUUCAUCUUUGUUUUAUUCUAAUUUACGAUUCGUUCUAAUUUCUUGUUUUCCCUCUUUCUUUGUUAGGUUUUGGAUCUGUGUUUCAUUUGCAAAAAUGAUGACCGUGUCUCAUUAUCUCUCAAUCUCCUGUGCUUCUCUCCUUCGCCAUUUGCAGGUGGGUUGGUGGAUGCAUGGAAGAUAUGUGGCAAGUAGUUAUAAUCAAAGUUCUCGCCCUCGGGCCGACAUUUGGAGACAUCGUUUUUCGAUUAAGGACAAGGAUAUGGCUAUGCCGAAGCAACAGAAGAAGCUAUCUCAGAAGAAGCAACAACACCCACAAGUAUCACAGUCAUGGUGAGAGCUCAAACGUGCCACCCUUUGGAUCCACUAUCUGCUGCUGAAAUAUCUGUAGCCGUAGGAACUGUUUGGGCAGCUGGGGCAACACCUGAGACCAUUUUGAAGUAUAUGUGUUUUAGAUAGAGAUUAAAAUGUAGGAAUGGGCUGGGAACGACAGAUUUAUAAGGGUAAUGCCUCGUACUCCUGCUGGUGUUGGCGAGGCAGCAUCAGUUAUGAGCUUGGGGGGAGCUGCAACAGAAGAAGAUGGAAACCUUAUAGCCAAAUUAUUUGGGUCAAUUGGCAAAAUAUGGAAAGCUGAUGAAAAGUAUUUUGAUGCAAUAACUGGCCUGAGGUAUGUAGAUCUCAUUUUAUAAAAAUGAUAUAAUAAAAUUUGGAUAUUAUCUAAGAAAUCCACUAGAAAUUUUCAUUUUAUCUAUGAUGGACGAAAAUUUUCUUAGAGUUAAGAGAUGAAGCCAUGCAAUUCUAGGCUAUGUACAUUUGAAAGAACAAAAGAAGAGUGUCUGGGAUGAAUACUCUGCUCAACACAUUUACCUAUGAUGCAUCAUUUGAGAUGCUCGAUCUUGCAAAUUUUUUUACCCAAUUCAAUAAAUUCGUUUACCCAGAUUUUGAUCCGCUUGGCCCAACUUCUGAAAUGAGUUUUAACUUAAAUAAAAAACCCAACGGCCCAUUUACAAAACCCUAUAUACCAAAGUUACAAACAGCUAAUAUUUCCAAAAAAA